AUAAUGGAGGUUGUAGCGGAGUACCUUUGCACAGCGCCGUUGCUGCCUUUGACAACGGCAACUAUGUGGCCCAGGGCGGUUUGUCCGGAGUCCUAGUCGACUGUUUGAACAAUGGUUUCAAAAUUGCUGUUCAGGAGUGCGGUCUUCCCCCGGCCAUAAUUGCGAUUGUGGAGGGUGGCAUUAACCUGAGAGACCCUUACAACUACUUCACUCUCGAAUGAUUUUAAUAUACUGACAUGUUAACAAAAAUUGUUAAUAAACGGAACUGAAUGUCAACUUAA